AACGUAGGAGGCGAGCGUUAUCCGGAAUCAUUGGGUUUAAAGGGUCCGUAGGCGGUUUAGUAAGUCAGUGGUGAAAGCCCAUCGCUCAACGGUGGAACGGCCAUUGAUACUGCUGAACUUGAAUUAUUAGGAAGUAACUAGAAUAUGUAGUGUAGCGGUGAAAUGCUUAGAUAUUACAUGGAAUACCAAUUGCGAAGGCAGGUUACUACUAAUGGAUUGACGCUGAUGGACGAAAGCGUGGGGAGCGAACAGG
rnacentral:rRNA from 1 species